rnacentral:rRNA from 1 species
GACGAACGCUGUCGGCGUGCUUAACACAUGCAAGUCGAACGGAAAGGCCCUGCUUUUGUGGGGUGCUCGAGUGGCGAACGGGUGAGUAACACGUGAGUAACCUGCCCUUGACUUUGGGAUAACUUCAGGAAACUGGGGCUAAUACCGGAUAGGAGCUCCUGCUGCAUGGUGGGGGUUGGAAAGUUUCGGCGGUUGGGGAUGGACUCGCGGCUUAUCAGCUUGUUGGUGGGGUAGUGGCUUACCAAGGCUUUGACGGGUAGCCGGCCUGAGAGGGUGACCGGCCACAUUGGGACUGAGAUACGGCCCAGACUCCUACGGGAGGCAGCAGUGGGGAAUAUUGCACAAUGGGCGGAAGCCUGAUGCAGCAACGCCGCGUGCGGGAUGACGGCCUUCGGGUUGUAAACCGCUUUCGCCUGUGACGAAGCGUGAGUGACGGUAAUGGGUAAAGAAGCACCGGCUAACUACGUGCCAGCAGCCGCGGUGAUACGUAGGGUGCGAGCGUUGUCCGGAUUUAUUGGGCGUAAAGGGCUCGUAGGUGGUUGAUCGCGUCGGAAGUGUAAUCUUGGGGCUUAACCCUGAGCGUGCUUUCGAUACGGGUUGACUUGAGGAAGGUAGGGGAGAAUGGAAUUCCUGGUGGAGCGGUGGAAUGCGCAGAUAUCAGGAGGAACACCAGUGGCGAAGGCGGUUCUCUGGGCCUUUCCUGACGCUGAGGAGCGAAAGCGUGGGGAGCGAACAGGCUUAGAUACCCUGGUAGUCCACGCUGUAAACGGUGGGUACUAGGUGUGGGGUCCAUUCCACGGGUUCCGUGCCGUAGCUAACGCUUUAAGUACCCCGCCUGGGGAGUACGGCCGCAAGGCUAAAACUCAAAGGAAUUGACGGGGCCCCGCACAAGCGGCGGAGCAUGCGGAUUAAUUCGAUGCAACGCGUAGAACCUUACCUGGGUUUGACAUGGAUCGGGAGUGCUCAGAGAUGGGUGUGCCUCUUUUGGGGUCGGUUCACAGGUGGUGCAUGACAGUCGUCAGCUCGUGUCGUGAGAUGUUGGGUUAAGUCCCGCAACGAGCGCAACCCUUGUUCACUGUUGCCAGCACGUUAUGGUGGGGACUCAGUGGAGACCGCCGGGGUCAACUCGGAGGAAGGUGGGGAUGACGUCAAGUCAUCAUGCCCCUUAUGUCCAGGGCUUCACGCAUGCUACAAUGGCUGGUACAGAGAGUGGCGAGCCUGUGAGGGUGAGCGAAUCUCGGAAAGCCGGUCUCAGUUCGGAUUGGGGUCUGCAACUCGACCUCAUGAAGUCGGAGUCGCUAGUAAUCGCAGAUCAGCAACGCUGCGGUGAAUACGUUCCCGGG